AGACUAUGAAAUACUGUUGAUGGGGGAACUGAAUGUUUCAAAGGUCAUGCAAGGGUCAUUAUUCUGGGUGUGACACAAUGCUUUGAGUGUGCCAUUUGGUUGUUUCCUUCUCAAGUUAAAUUCUCUUUAUGUACAUAAAGCAGAAAUCUCUGGAACAGCUGCUCACUGUAUUGAUUAAGUGGGAUGAGGUACACAGUGGGAAGGUGUUCGAUGCAGAAAUAGUGGUGGUGGUGGUGCAAGUGGUACAUAAUCUUCCCAAACUCAGCACGGAAAUUGUUUGUCUUUCCAAUGUAUACAUAUCACUUCAUUUGCGCAUGAACUGUGCUAAUUUAGAACAGUAUGAAAUAACAUAAGUUGGAUUUUGUAUUAA